AAGUAUUCUAGAAUAGGAAGGAACCCAAAAUCAUGAAAUUCUUAUUUAUUUUUCCUUUUCAAUUCUAAACUUCCCUUCUACUAGCUCUUCUGUCACUUGCGAGCCACCAAGCCAUCGCCACACCAGUCAACUGCAACAGUCCAUCUGCUGCCAGCUAUAGCGUCGAUCAUCCCUAGCUGUGGCUGACCUUACCAUCAAUUGUUAGUCCUCUUCUCCAUUGAUAAGGGAAGAAGAUUGUGUGAAGAAAUUUGCCAUGGAAAAUGAAAAGAUUGAACACUUAAGGAAACAAAUUUUGAGAAGAUUGAGAUUGACAAAGUCAGUGGCAGUUAAAAGCGUAAAGAUUAGUAAUCAACAAAGUUAUCUCAACUAAUCACAUGAAGGAAUUUGGUUAGUUUCGGGUUGUUACACAUACUCUCUCAAGAGAUCCAAGUGAAGAAGACGGAGCAGACCAACCAACAAACCCAUCAUCUCCGAGUCCUAGCACACCUUAAAGUACAAGAUCAUCCCCAAGCUUAGGAAGCCAAACAUGAUGCUUGACUCCUCAACAUCAAGAAGCCCGAAGAUCAACACGGGAUAGACAACAGCCAACAUGGCUACAAGAUUACCAUUGUGACCAAGCAAUGAUGGCUCUGUUCUCUGGUGAGCCACAAACAUUUCAAGAAGCAGCACAAUAAGAAACAUGGAUCGAGGCUAUAAAUGAAGAAAUCAAAAUGAUCAAAAAGAACUACACAUGAGAGCUUGCAGACAAGCCACAAGACAAGGAAGUCAUCGGACUCAAGUGGGUGUACAAAGUGAAGCAAAACGAUGCUGGCUCCAUCAAUAAGUACAAAGCAAGGCUCGUUGCAAAGGGAUAAGUACAACUAUCGGGAAUCGACUUCAACGAAACAUAUGCCUCAGUUGUCCGCAUGGAGACAAUCAGAACAGUCCUGGCAUUAGCAGCACAACAUCAGCUACCAAUCUUUCAGCUCGAUGUCAAAUCAGCAUUUCUAAAUGGAGAACUCGAAGAAGAAGUGUACGUCGAGCAACCGUAGGCAUAAGUCAUCAAAGGCCAAGAAGAAAAAGUAUACCACCUUUGAAAAGUUCUUUACGAUCUCAAACAAGCACCUCGAGCGUGGAACAGCAAUAUCGAUAACUAUCUUCUCCAGCAUGGUUUCAUCAAGAGUCCGAGUGAACCUUCACUAUACAUUAAGACGCAAGGUAAUGAGAAGUUAUCACUGGCUACACCAAUGAUAAAUAAUGAGAAGUUAUCAAAGAAUGAUGGCAAACCAAAAGUCGACGGAGCAAUGUAUCGAAGCCUGGUUGGUUCUCUCAUUUAUCUAACACACAAGACCAGAUACAGACAACGCUGUCAGCAUCGUAUCAAGGUUCAUGAAUGAACCGAGUAAGGAUCAUCUAAUAGCAACAAAGAGGAUUCUCAUAUACAUUAAGGGAACGAAGAGCUAUGGGAUCAUGUAUGAGACUGAAAAAGAUUUGAAGCUCACAGGAUACACCGAUAAGUAGUGUGGAUGAUAGAAAAAGCACAAGCGGAUACAUAUUUCAGCUUGGAACCAAGGUGGUUUCAUGGUCAUUAAAAAAGCAGGCAACGAUAGCUUUAUCAUCAGUAGAAGCAGAAUACAUUGCAGUAACAAGUGCAGCAUGUGAAGCAGUCUGGCUCAGAAGGAUAUUGAUCGAUCUGCAACAUAAGCAAGAAACACCAACUACAAUGUUCAGAGACAACAUGUCAACAAUAGCAAUGACGAAGAAUCCAGUGUUUCAUAGUAGAUCAAAACACAUCGAGAUACGACAUCAUUACAUUUGAGAGUUGGUAGACAAGAAAGAGAUUAAACUACAGUUCUGCAAGACGGGGGAGAAGAUCGCAGACAGAAACCAUAUCAACUGAUAGAUUUUUCGAGUUCAGAAGACAACUCAUAGUUUAAGAUUUUUUAGAUUCAGGGGAGGGUUAAAAUAAUUUAAAAAAAUCUAAGAUUUUAAAAAUAUUAAACAUCAAAA